rnacentral:rRNA from 1 species
UACGUAGGGGGCAAGCGUUGUCCGGAUUCAUUGGGCGUAAAGAGCGUGUAGGCGGCCAGGUAGGUCGGUUGUGAAAACUGGAGGCUCAACCUUCAGAGGUCGACCGAAACCAUCUGGCUAGAGUCCGGGAGAGGAGAGUGGAAGUUCCUGGUGGUAAGCGGUGAAAUGCGCAGAGUAUCAGGAAGAACACCCGUGGCGAAGGCGGCUCUCUGGGACGGUACUGACGCUGAGACGCGAAAGCGUGGGGAGCGAACAGG